GACGAACCGUGCGAACGUUAUUCGGAAUCACUGGGCUUAAAGGGUGCGUAGGCUGCGAGGAGGGUGGGGUGUGAAAUCCCUCGGCUUAACCGAGGAAUUGCGCUCCAAACCGCCUUGCUGGAGUGAGACAGAGGUGAGCGGAACUAAUGGUGGAGCGGUGAAAUGCGUUGAUAUCAUUAGGAACACCAGAGGCGAAGGCGGCUCACUGGGUCUCAACUGACGCUGAUGCACGAAAGCGUGGGGAGCAAACAGG
rnacentral:rRNA from 1 species